ACGGGGGGUGCAAGCGUUGUCCGGAAUCAUUGGGCGUAAAGCGUUCGUAGGCGGCAUACCAAGUCUGGUGUUAAAUCCCGGGGCUCAACUCCGGUUCGGCAGUGGAUACUGGUAAGCUAGAAUGUGGGAGAGGUAAAGGGAAUUCCUGGUGUAGCGGUGAAAUGCGUAGAUAUCAGGAGGACCACCGGUGGCGUAGGCGCCUUACUGGACCAUACCUGACGCUGAGGCACGAAAGCCGGGGGAGCAAAUCG
rnacentral:rRNA from 1 species